rnacentral:lncRNA from 1 species
AAAUGCAUCUUUUUUCCUGACUCCAGUGGACCAACAUGAAAAACAGAAUCUUCAGCAGCUUAUUCAGAUACUCAAGUGCCUUCAGAAGAGCUCUGUUUGUCACUGAGCUUCUUGGGUUCCUCAUGGCCACUGAUUCUUCAAGAUCCAUUUGUACCUGGUGCUCAGAAAUCACACAGCUCCUUAAAAGCCCACAGUCGCGUGUAUAAGCCAUCCAGUUUUAUCCUCCCUAAUUUACAAGAUACCACACCCAAAUUACUCAGCUUUUUCAGG